AUUGAACGCUGGCGGCAUGCCUUACACAUGCAAGUCGAACGGCAGCGGGGGAGAAGCUUGCUUUUCCUGCCGGCGAGUGGCGAACGGGUGAGUAAUACAUCGGAACGUGCCCUGUAGUGGGGGAUAACUAGUCGAAAGAUUAGCUAAUACCGCAUACGACCUGAGGGUGAAAGUGGGGGACCGCAAGGCCUCAUGCUAUAGGAGCGGCCGAUGUCUGAUUAGCUAGUUGGUGGGGUAAAGGCCUACCAAGGCGACGAUCAGUAGCUGGUCUGAGAUGACGCUCAGCCACACAGGGCGUGAGACGCGGGCCAGACUCCUACGGGGGGCAGCGGUGGGGAAUUUUGGACAAUGGGCGAAAGCCUGAUCCAGCAAUGCAGCGUGUAUGCAGAAGGCCUUCGGGUUGUACAGCACUUUUGUACGGAAAGAACUGGCUCUGGUUAAUACCUGGGGUCGAUGACGGUACCGGAAGAAUAAGGACCGGCUAACUACGUGCCAGCCGCCGCGGUAA
rnacentral:rRNA from 1 species